UGGGGAAUAUUGGACAAUGGGCGCAAGCCUGAUCCAGCCAUGCCGCGUGUGUGAAGAAGGCCUUCGGGUUGUAAAGCACUUUUGUCCGGAAAGAAAGCGAAUCGGCGAAUACCCGGUUUGGAUGACGGUACCGGAAGAAUAAGCACCGGCUAACUUCGUGCCAGCAGCCGCGGUAAUACGAAGGGUGCGAGCGUUAUCCGGAUUUAUUGGGUUUAAAGGGUCCGUAGGCGGGCCUGUAAGUCAGUGGUGAAAUCUCAUAGCUUAACUAUGAAACUGCCAUUGAUACUGCAGGCCUUGAGUAAAUUUGAAGUCGCUGGAAUAAGUAGUGUAGCGGUGAAAUGCAUAGAUAUUACUUAGAACACCGAUUGCGAAGGCAGGUCACUAAGAUUUAACUGACGCUGAUGGACGAAAGCGUGGGGAGCGAACA
rnacentral:rRNA from 1 species